AUGGUACGGAAUAACUCAGGGAAACUUGUGCUAAUACCGUAUGUGCCCGCAAGGGGAAAGAUUUAUCGCCAUCGGAUGAACCCGCGUCAGAUUAGCUAGUUGGUGUGGUAAAGGCGCACCAAGGCGACGAUCUGUAGCUGGUCUGAGAGGAUGAUCAGCCACACUGGGACUGAGACACGGCCCAGACUCCUACGGGAGGCAGCAGUGGGGAAUAUUGGACAAUGGGCGCAAGCCUGAUCCAGCCAUGCCGCGUGAGUGAUGAAGGCCUUAGGGUUGUAAAGCUCUUUCGCCGACGAAGAUAAUGACGGUAGUCGGAGAAGAAGCCCCGGCUAACUUCGUGCCAGCAGCCGCGGUAAUACGAAGGGGGCUAGCGUUGUUCGGAAUCACUGGGCGUAAAGCGCACGUAGGCGGAUUGUUAAGUCAGGGGUGAAAGCCUGGAGCUCAACUCCAGAACUGCCUUUGAUACUGGCAAUCUCGAGUCCGGAAGAGGUAAGUGGAACUGCGAGUGUAGAGGUGAAAUUCGUAGAUAUUCGCAAGAACACCAGUGGCGAAGGCGGCUUACUGGUCCGGUACUGACG
rnacentral:rRNA from 1 species